rnacentral:rRNA from 1 species
AUUGAACGCUGGCGGCAUGCCUUACACAUGCAAGUCGAACGGUAACGGGCCUUCGGGUGCCGACGAGUGGCGAACGGGUGAGUAAUACAUCGGAACGUGCCCGAUCGUGGGGGAUAACGAGGCGAAAGCUUUGCUAAUACCGCAUACGAUCUACGGAUGAAAGCAGGGGACCGCAAGGCCUUGCGCGGACGGAGCGGCCGAUGGCAGAUUAGGUAGUUGGUGGGAUAAAAGCUUACCAAGCCGACGAUCUGUAGCUGGUCUGAGAGGAUGAUCAGCCACACUGGGACUGAGACACGGCCCAGACUCCUACGGGAGGCAGCAGAGGGGAAUUUUGGACAAUGGGCGCAAGCCUGAUCCAGCCAUGCCGCGUGCAGGAUGAAGGCCUUCGGGUUGUAAACUGCUUUUGUACGGAACGAAAAGCCUUCUUUUAAUACAGGAGGGUCAUGACGGUACCGUAAGAAUAAGCACCGGCUAACUACGUG